GUGCUCACUUCGGCAGCACAUAUACUAAAGCUGGAAAAAUGCAGAGAUUACCAUGGCCCCUGCGCAAGGAGGACAUGCAAAUUGGUGAAGUCUCUUGUAAUAAC
ensembl:snRNA U6 U6 spliceosomal RNA